UCUGGUUGAUCCUGCCAGAGACCACCGCUAUUGGAAUUCGCUUAAGCCGUGCGAGUCGAGAGGGUUCUGCCCUCGGCUGACCGCUCAGUAACACGUGGAGAACCUGCCCUGAAGUGGGGGAUAAGCUCGGGAAACUGAGGAUAAUACCCCAUAGACCAUAGAUGCUGGAAUGCUCAAUGGUCGAAAGCUCCGGCGCUUCAGGAUGGCUCUGCGGCCUAUCAGGUUGUAGGGAGGGUAACGGCCUCCCUAGCCUACGACGGGUACGGGCGUUGAGAGACGUCGCCCGGAGAUGAACUCUGAGACACGAGUUCAGGUCCUACGGGGCGCAGCAGGCGCGAAAACUGCACAAUGCUGGAAACAGCGAUGCGGGGAUUCCAAGUGCCGGCACUGAGUGUCGGCUGUUCCAUUGCCUAAAAAGCAUAGGAAGUAAGGGCUGGGUAAGACGGGUGCCAGCCGCCGCGGUAAUACCUGCAGCCCGAGUGGUGGCCGUUAUUAUUGGGCCUAAAACGUCCGUAGCCGGUUUGGUAGAUGCCUGUGUAAAUCGAACGGCUUAACCGUUCGAAGUGUGGGUAGACCGCCAGACUAGGGACCGGGAGAGUCACGAAGUACUCCGGGGGUAGAGGUGAAAUUCUGUAAUCCUCGGGGGACUACCGGUGGCGAAGGCGUCGUGAUAGAACGGCUCCGACGGUGAGGGACGAAGCCCUGGGGCGCAAACCGGAUUAGAUACCCGGGUAGUCCAGGGUGUAAACGCUGCGGUCUUGGUGUCGGGAGUCCUACGCGGGCACCCGGUGCCGGAGAGAAGUUGUUAAGACCGCUGCCUGGGGAGUACGGCCGCAAGGUUGAAACUUAAAGGAAUUGGCGGGGGAGCACCGCAACGGGAGGAGCGUGCGGUUUAAUUGGAUUCAACGCCGGAAAGCUCACCGGAGUCGACCAUUUGAUGUGGGCCAGUCUGAUGGGCUUGCCUGAAUUAUGGAGAGGUGGUGCAUGGCCGCCGUCAGUUCGUACCGUAAGGCGUUCUGUUAAGUCAGAUAACGAACGAGACCCUUAUCUCCAAUUGCCACCGGGAUCUCCGGAUCUCGAGCACAUUGUAGAGACCGCUGGUGCUAAGUCAGAGGAAGGAUAGGGCAACGGUAGGUCAGUAUGCCCCGAAUGCUCCGGGCUACACGCGCGCUACAAAGGACGGGACAAUGGGUAUCAACCCCGAGAGGGGAAGGCAAUCCCGAAACCCGUUCGUAGUUCGGAUCGAGGGCUGAAACUCGCCCUCGUGAAGCUGGAUUCCGUAGUAAUCGCGUCUCAAAAUGGCGCGGUGAAUAUGCCCCUGCUCCUUGCACACACCGCCCGUCAAACCAUCUGAGUAGGGUUCAAGUGAGGGGUCCUCCCCAUGGGGAUUUCAAACUUGGGCUCUGCAAGGAGGGUUAAGUCGUAACAAGGUA
rnacentral:rRNA from 1 species